rnacentral:rRNA from 1 species
CGUGGAUGAGGCAUGCAAGUCGAACGGAACAGUUUUUAACUGUUUAGUGGCGGAAGGGUUAGUAAUGCAUAGAUAAUUUGUCUUUAACUUGGGAAUAACGGUUGGAAACGGCCGCUAAUACCGAAUGUGGCACCAUUUAGGCAUCUAGAUGGUGUUAAAGAAGGGGAUCUUCGGACCUUUCGGUUAAAGGGGAGUCUAUGUGAUAUCAGCUAGUUGGUAGGGUAAAGG